rnacentral:rRNA from 1 species
CCUACGGGGGGCACCAGUGGGGAAUAUUACACAAUGGGCGCAAGCCUGAUGCAGCCAUGCCGCAUGUAUGAAGAAGGCCUUCGGGUUGUAAAGUACUUUCAGCGGGGAGGAAGGUGUUGUGGUUAAUAACCGCAGCAAUUGACGUUACCCGCAGAAGAAGCACCGGCUAACUCCGUGCCAGCAGCCGCGGUAAUACGGAGGGUGCAAGCGUUAAUCGGAAUUACUGGGCGUAAAGCGCACGCAGGCGGUCUGUCAAGACGGAUGUGAAAUCCCCAGGCUCAACCUGGGAACUGCAUUCGAAACUGGCAGGCUAGAGUCUUGUAGAGGGGGGUAGAAUUCCAGGUGUAGCGGUGAAAUGCGUAGAGAUCUGGAGGAAUACCGGUGGCGAAGGCGGCCUCCUGGACAAAGACUGACGCUCAGGUGCGAAAGCGUGGGGAGCAAACAGGAUUAGAUACCCUAGUAGUC